UGUGUAAAUAAACAACGCAACCGUAAGC
rnacentral:sRNA from 1 species